rnacentral:lncRNA from 10 species
GCCCCCCGCCCGCCCGAGCCUCGGCCGCGGGCCUCCCUCCUCCGUUAUCCCGCCUGCCCGCGCAAAACUCACACAACCCUCUUCAUUCGACCUACCUCCCUUGGGCACGUCUCGCAGUCAGGCUUGCGUUGGGGCCGUUUACUUCCCUUCGAUUAGACAACCAGGCCCCCGGGGCUGGGGCUGCGGCCUCCCCUCCCCGCCCGGCACACGCGGGCACAGCGUGGUUACCCUGGUUACUCAAAAGGAAGAGGCCGCUUGAACUGAGAAAAGCACAACGUGUGAAUACGGUGGCUUCUUGUGAGAAGGGGCCAUUCUAUUGUAACUGUGAAUCUGCAGCAGUAAUCUUUUUGGCUUUGUCCUAGCCUUUGACUACGUGGGUGCUUAAUACAUGCAUGUUGAAUGAACAAAUAAAAAGAAUUCUAAACA